AAGGCUUUAGCUUAAUUAAAGCGUCUGGGUUGCAUUCAGAAGAUGUGGGAUAAUAACCUACAAGUUUUA
rnacentral:tRNA from 1 species